UAGGGAAUCUUCGGCAAUGGGGGGAACCCUGACCGAGCAACGCCGCGUGAGUGAAGAAGGUUUUCGGAUCGUAAAGCUCUGUUGUUAAGGAAGAACGAGUGUGAGAAUGGAAAGUUCAUGCUGUGACGUUACUUAACCAGAAAGGGACGGCUAACUACGUGCCAGCAGCCGCGGUAAUACGUAGGUCCCGAGCGUUGUCCGGAUUUAUUGGGCGUAAAGCGAGCGCAGGCGGUUAGAAAAGUCUGAAGUGAAAGGCAGUGGCUCAACCAUUGUAGGCUUUGGAAACUGUUUAACUUGAGUGCAGAAGGGGAGAGUGGAAUUCCAUGUGUAGCGGUGAAAUGCGUAGAUAUAUGGAGGAACACCGGUGGCGAAAGCGGCUCUCUGGUCUGUAACUGACGCUGAGGCUCGAAAGCGUGGGGAGCGAACAGG
rnacentral:rRNA from 2 species